UACGGAGGAUGCAAGCGUUAUCCGGAUUUAUUGGGUUUAAAGGGUGCGUAGGCGGGAUCAUAAGUCAGUGGUGAAACCCUGCAGCUUAACUGUAGACUUGCCAUUGAUACUGUGGUUCUUGAGUGUGGUCAAGGGAGGCGGAAUGUGUAAUGUAGCGGUGAAAUGCUUAGAUAUUACACAGAACACCAAUUGCGAAGGCAGCUUUCUGGGCCAUUACUGACGCUGAUGCACGAAAGCGUGGGGAGCGAACAGG
rnacentral:rRNA from 1 species